CGCGAAGUAGAGCAGCGGUAGCUCGUCGGGCUCAUAACCCGAAGGUCGGUGGUUCGAACCCAUCCUUCGCAACAA
rnacentral:tRNA from 1 species